ACGGUCCCCUGCGUUCUCAGAAAAGUUGCCAGCUGUUUACGCCUUUCCCUGGGCUUCGAGUUCAGGCCAGGACACGAAUACUACUAUAUCUCGUCUCCUCAUCCCAACCAUGUAGGGAGGCCGUGUCUGAGGCUGAAGGUGUAUGUCAGACCCCCAGGCAGUUCAGGGUUUGACUCUCCAGAGCCCUUUUUGACUGAUGGAGCUGCAGACUGGAGCCCAGAGUCCCUGCUAGCCCCAGCCCUAAUACCCAGCCUUGCCACACUGCUACUGUGCUUCCUCUCAUCGCUGUGACCCCCCCUCCACUGGAGCAAGACCUAGACCAGAGUCUUUGCUGGAAGACUGCCUGUAGGACUGCCUGGCUGGCUGUCCCUCAAAUUCCCACACGCUCAGGGAGAAACUCUCUGUCCUGGAUUAAAAACCACUGUGGGUCCCCAGGACAAGCAUUUACAGCCCCUGGGCUAAUUCAUGGAUGAAGAGCCCCUAGUCUAAACUUAACCCUAACCCCCCCUGGGGUGUCUGAAGGGACAUGGAUGGGGGGUGGUGGUAGUUGGCUGGACACACGCAUGCAUGACCACUGUGAAUCUGGACUGAACUGACUAAACUGAUGGUGUUCUGUUCUGUUUACAUGAUCACAUAAUUUAACUGAAGAUGGUUCUACGGAUGUCAUGGUUAUAUUUGAAAUGGACAGUUAAUUAGACUUCCAAAGUGCAGAUUCUGAUCUGACACUCAGAAGCCUUCUGAUGGACAGAGAAACAACUCAACUAUAUUUACUGCUGCAACCCCCAGCCCACAGAGGGAAGAGGAGAAGGAGGGGGAAAUAAACUAAGAAAAGGAGAGAAAGAAAGAGAGUCUCUGGGGACCGAGACUUCUUUAAUGUCGGGAAGGGAACAUAAUGAGAA